UAACACAUAAUCCAGAUGGCUCCUUACGUGUUAAAAAUUGUCACCCCAAUUUCACUCCAAUUUGGAAAAAUAUUGGAGUGACGUUUGAAUAAUCUGAAAUUUUUAGAUUCCUUUUCUAACUUUUUUGGGAGGUUUUGCUUCUCUUGCACAGAUGUCGCUUGCACUUCAGUUGCGUGGUUGCCAAACGUUAUAUCGAAAUAUAUUUCAUUUCAUUAUGAAUAUAUAAAAUUAAAAAUUAUGUAAUUUAUAAACAUGAAAUAGAUAUGGAUGUUAGGUAAUACCGGAUGUUAAAUUAAUAUAUAAAUAUUUAACUUAAUACGUACAUUAUUAUUUUAUUAAUUUAUCGUCACACGUCAUUUACCAGUUGCCUAAUUACGAAAAGUUUCAUAUGAUAUUAACCUCAAAAUGAUCUUUGAAAACAAACAACAACAAAUAACUCAAAGAAAUAACUACAUACUACAUAAUAAUAACUGAUAAUAAUGACUUUUAACGGUAUAAAGGCUGAUGAAGUUUUAGACAACCAAUACAAGAUUCAGAACUCGGCAUCGCGAUAAACAAGUAAAAUUGUACAUUCAGGAACUCGUUUAAAUAUUAUAGGUUGAUUGAAGAAUAAUCUACAAUUGAUUAGAGCCUAUGACGAUGCGAAUAUAAUUAAUCACCUAACUUUAAGAAACCAGCCUAAAGAAGUUUACAUGCAUCUCAUCUAACCAUUAUAGGUAAUAAUUUACAAAAUUAGUCAUUUUUGAUUAUAAUAUUAUGGUACUUAGGUACAUUUUAUCUUCUAGAUCAGUAGUGAUUUUUCAUAAUUUGAAUGAACUCACAGAUAGCAAUGGGGCACCGC